AGCGAACGCUGGCGGCAGGCCUAACACAUGCAAGUCGAACGAACCUUUCGGGGUUAGUGGCGGACGGGUGAGUAACACGUGGGAACGUGCCUUUAGGUUCGGAAUAACUCAGGGAAACUUGUGCUAAUACCGAAUGUGCCCUUCGGGGGAAAGAUUAUCGGCGUUUGGGUGGGCCGCGUCUGGUUUGCUCGUUGGGUGGGGUAAUGGCUCACCAAGGCGACGAUCAAUAGCUGGUCUGAGAGGAUGAUCAGCCACAUUGGGACUGAGACACGGCCCAAAAUCCUACGGGAGGCAGCAGUGGGGAAUCUUGCGCAAUGGGCGAAAGCCUGACGCAGCCAUGCCGCGUGAAUGAUGAAGGUCUUAGGAUUGUAAAAUUCUUUCACCGGGGACGAUAAUGACGGUACCCGGAGAAGAAGCCCCGGCUAACUUCGUG
rnacentral:rRNA from 1 species